rnacentral:rRNA from 1 species
AGAGUUUGAUCAUGGCUCAGAUUGAACGCUGGCGGCAGGCCUAACACAUGCAAGUCGAGCGGAUGAGUGGAGCUUGCUCCAUGAUUCAGCGGCGGACGGGUGAGUAAUGCCUAGGAAUCUGCCUGGUAGUGGGGGACAACGUUUCGAAAGGAACGCUAAUACCGCAUACGUCCUACGGGAGAAAGCAGGGGACCUUCGGGCCUUGCGCUAUCAGAUGAGCCUAGGUCGGAUUAGCUAGUUGGUGAGGUAAAGGCUCACCAAGGCGACGAUCCGUAACUGGUCUGAGGGGAUGAUCAGUCACACUGGAACUGAGACACGGUCCAGACUCCUACGGGAGGCAGCAGUGGGGAAUAUUGGACAAUGGGCGAAAGCCUGAUCCAGCCAUGCCGCGUGUGUGAAGAAGGUCUUCGGAUUGUAAAGCACUUUAAGUUGGGAGGAAGGGCAGUAAGCUAAUACCUUGCUGUUUUGACGUUACCGACAGAAUAAGCACCGGCUAACUUCGUGCCAGCAGCCGCGGUAAUACGAAGGGUGCAAGCGUUAAUCGGAAUUACUGGGCGUAAAGCGCGCGUAGGUGGUUCAGCAAGUUGGAUGUGAAAGCCCCGGGCUCAACCUGGGAACUGCAUCCAAAACUACUGAGCUAGAGUACGGUAGAGGGUGGUGGAAUUUCCUGUGUAGCGGUGAAAUGCGUAGAUAUAGGAAAGAACACCAGUGGCGAAGGCGACCACCUGGACUGAUACUGACACUGAGGUGCGAAAGCGUGGGGAGCAAACAGGAUUAGAUACCCCGGUAGUCC